GUUUUGGCGGGAAUAACUUCGGCGCAGGUUUUGGCGGGAACAAUUUCGGAACAGGUUUUGGCAACCGACCCGGAGGUUUUGGCGGGAAUAACUUCGGAACAGGUUUUGGCGGAAACAACUUCGGCAACCGACCCGGAGGUUUUGGCGGGAACAACUUCGGAACAGGUUUUGGCGGAAACAACUUCGGUAACCGACCUGGAGGUUUUGGCGGAAACCAGUUCUUUACAGGUAAAUAGAAAAGUGUAACUCUGCGCAUUGCAUCCGCAAACAAGAGAGAUUAUAAAGUGUUUCUUAUGUUCAUUACUUGAUCUUUAUUAUCAUUUCUUGAUGCUUACGAUUAUCAUCUCUAGAUGUUUAUCAUUAUUAUCAAUUCUUGAUGUUUAUUAUUAUUUCUUUAAAUUUAUGAUUAUAAUUUCUUUUUGCUACGAACGACGUAGGAAAUAAUAAAAUUGGGUAAUAGCUGUCCAUAUGCAUAUAUUACUGGGAAUCAAUCUAUCACUGGUAAUAAUAAUAAUCACAUAUAAAGAUGAAUUAGAUAAGCAUACUCUUA